rnacentral:rRNA from 1 species
CACCGGCGGCCCGAGUGGUGAUCGUGAUUAUUGGGUCUAAAGGGUCCGUAGCCGGUUUGGUCAGUCCUCCGGGAAAUCUGAUGGCUCAACCAUUAGGCUUUCGGGGGAUACUGCCAGGCUUGGAACCGGGAGAGGUAAGAGGUACUACAGGGGUAGGAGUGAAAUCUUGUAAUCCCUGUGGGACCACCUGUGGCGAAGGCGUCUUACCAGAACGGGUUCGACGGUGAGGGACGAAAGCUGGGGGCACGAA